rnacentral:rRNA from 1 species
AGCGAACGCUGGCGGUAGGCCUAACACAUGCAAGUCGAACGGCAGCACAGUAAGAGCUUGCUCUUACGGGUGGCGAGUGGCGGACGGGUGAGGAAUACAUCGGACUCUACUUUUUCGUGGGGGAUAACGAAGGGAAACUUACGAUAAUACCGCAUACGACCCACGGGUGAAAGCAGGGGAUCUUCGGACCUUGCGCGAUUGAAUGAGCCGAUGCCGGAUUAGCUAGUUGGCGGGGUAAUGGCCCACCAAGGCGAGGAUCCGUUGCUGGUCUGAGUGGAUGAUCGGCGGCAUUAGAAGGUGAACACGAACCAGGCGACUGCGGGAGGGCGCAGUGUGGAAUGGUGGGCAAUGGGGGGAAGUAUUGAACAGCCAUACCACGUGAGUGAAGAAGACCUUGGGGUUGUAAAGACCUUUUGUUGGUUAUAAAAAGCUGCAGACUGAAACCCCGCGUUUCUGACGGUACCGGAAAAAUAAGCACCGGCUAACUACGUG